rnacentral:rRNA from 1 species
UACGAAGGGGGCUAGCGUUGUUCGGAAUUACUGGGCGUAAAGCGCGCGUAGGCGGUGAUCUUUGUCAGAGGUGAAAUCCCGAGGCUCAACUUCGGAAUUGCCUUUGAAACGGGAUUGCUUGAGUCCGAGAGAGGAUGGCGGAAUUCCUAGUGUAGAGGUGAAAUUCGUAGAUAUUAGGAAGAACACCGGUGGCGAAGGCGGCCAUCUGGCUCGGUACUGACGCUCAGGCGCGAAAGCCAGGGGAGCAAACGGG